UUGGAGUGGAGGUUGUGCGUGAUUGUGACCGCAAGUGAGAGAAUAAAGUGAAAUGCAGGUGAAGAGCUAUUCAAAUGCUAUUCUUAUCCCUACUGCAGUCAGUUCUCUCUUUAAGAGAGGGAUUUGUUCCCAAAGCGGCCUGUCCUCCCGGGAUUCUGUGAGAAACGGUGUGAUGGUGGGCAGGACCGGCCUCUCAUGAGGAGAAAACUGAGCCGGAACCCCAGGGAAUGAGCCAUCUACACACCUGGGAGAAGAAUAUUCUAGGAGGACAUCUGAGGUCUUACCACCUGUUUCCAGGAAGAAAAGGGGGAAGGUCAGAGUGCUCUUCUUGUAUCUGCUGUUUAAGUGCCUUUAGCUCAGAGAGAAUAUGAGCAGGAGAGGAGCAGAGAGAGAGAG